rnacentral:rRNA from 1 species
AGAGUUUGAUCCUGGCUCAGGAUGAACGCUGGCUGUGUGCCUAAUACAUGCAUGUCGAGCGAAGUUCUUCGGAACUUAGCGGCGAAUGGGUGAGUAACACGUACUCAACGUACCCUUUAGAUUGGGAUAGCGGUUGGAAACAGCCGAUAAUACCAAAUAUGCACAUUUUUCGCAUGAAAAGUGUGUGAAAGGAGCAAUUGUUCCGCUAAAGGAGCGGGGUGCGCAACAUUAGCUAGUUGGUGAGGUAACGGCCCACCAAGGCGAUGAUGUUUAGCGGGGUUGAGAGACUGAACCGCCACACUGGGACUGAGAUACGGCCCAGACUCCUACGGGAGGCAGCAGUAGGGAAUAUUCCACAAUGGACGAAAGUCUGAUGGAGCGACACAGCGUGCAGGAUGAAGGCCCCAUGGGUUGUAAACUGCUGUGGUAAGGGAAGAAAAAGCAGAAGAGUGGAACGCUUUUGCCUUGACGGUACCUUAUUAGAAAGCGACGGCUAACUAUGUGCCAGCAGCCGCGGUAAUACAUAGGUCGCAAGCGUUAUCCGGAAUUAUUGGGCGUAAAGCGUCUGUAGGUUGUUUGUUAAGUCUGACGUCAAAUUUUGGGGCUCAACCCCAAACCGCGUUGGAUACUGGCAUACUAGAGUUAUGUAGAGGUUAGCGGAAUUCCUUGUGAAGCGGUGGAAUGCGUAGAUAUAAGGAAGAACACCAAUAUGGCGAAGGCAGCUAACUGGACAUAUACUGACACUGAGAGACGAAAGCGUGGGGAGCAAACAGGAUUAGAUACCCUGGUAGUCCACGCCCUAAACGAUGAUCAUUAGCUGAUGGAAAAUUCAUCGGCGCAGCUAACGCAUUAAAUGAUCCGCCUGAGUAGUACGUUCGCAAGAAUAAAACUUAAAGGAAUUGACGGGGAUCCGCACAAGCGGUGGAGCAUGUGGUUUAAUUUGAAGAUACGCGUAGAACCUUACCCACUCUUGACAUCUUCUGCAAAGCUAUAGAGAUAUAGUGGAGGUUAACAGAAUGACAGAUGGUGCAUGGUUGUCGUCAGCUCGUGUCGUGAGAUGUACGGUUAAGUCCUGCAACGAGCGCAACCCUUGUCCUUAGUUACUAACAUUAAGUUGAGCACUCUAAGGAGACUGCCCGAGUAAUUGGGAGGAAGGUGGGGACGACGUCAAAUCAUCAUGCCUCUUACGAGUGGGGCAACACACGUGCUACAAUGGUCGGUACAAAGAGAAGCAAACUGGUGACAGGGAGCAAACCUCAAAAAACCGAUCUCAGUUCGGAUUGUAGUCUGCAACUCGACUACAUGAAGUCGGAAUCGCUAGUAAUCGUAGAUCAGCUACGCUACGGUGAAUACGUUCUCGGGUCUUGUACACACCGCCCGUCAAACCAUGGGAGCUGGUAAUGCCCGAAGUCGGUUUAUAAACAAACUGCCUAAGGCAGGACUGGUGACUGGGGUUAAGUCGUAACAAGGUAUCCCUACGAGAACGUGGGGAUG